rnacentral:tRNA from 1 species
GACUCAGUGGUCCAAUGGUAAAGGACUCCCUGCUGAGCCAGGGGGUCCCGGUUUCGAUCCCCGACGGGGUAG